AUCUAUUUAGACAGUGAGGAAUCAGAUUUAGAUUGUAUUGAGUAUACAGUCCACACCAUAUCUAUUUAGACAGUGAGGUAUCAGAUUUAGAUUGUAUUGAGUAUACAGUCCACACCAUAUCUAUUUAGACAUUGAGGUAUCAGAUUUAGAUUGUAUUGAGUAUACAGUCCACACCAUAUCUAUUUAGACAGUGAGGAAUCAGAUUUAGAUUGUAUUGAGUAUACAGUCCACAUCAUAUCUAUUUAGACAGUGAGGAAUCAGAUUUAGAUUGUAUUGAGAAUACAGUCCACACCAUAUCUAUUUAGACAGUGAGGAAUCAGAUUUAGAUUGUAUUGAGUAUACAGUCCACACCAUAUCUAUUUAGACAGUGAGGAAUCAGAUUUAGAUUGUAUUGAGUAUACAGUCCACACCAUAUCUAUUUAGACAGUGAGGUAUCAGAUUUAGAUUGUAUUGAGUAUACAGUCCACACCAUAUCUAUUUAGACAGUGAGGUAUCAGAUUUAGAUUGUAUUGAGUAUACAGUCCACAUCAUAUCUAUUUAGACAGUGAGGAAUCAGAUUUAGAUUGUAUUGAGUAUACAGUCCACACCAUAUCUAUUUAGACAGUGAGGAAUCAGAUUUAGAUUGUAUUGAGUAUACAGUCCACACCAUAUCUAUUUAGACAGUGAGGUAUCAGAUUUAGAUUGUAUUGAGUAUACAGUCCACACCAUAUCUAUUUAGACAGUGAGGUAUCAGAUUUAGAUUGUAUUGAGUAUACAGUCCACACCAUAUCUAUUUAGACAGUGAGGUAUCAGAUUUAGAUUGUAUUGAGUAUACAGUCCACAUCAUAUCUAUUUAGACAGUGAGGAAUCAGAUUUAGAUUGUAUUGAGUAUACAGUCCACACCAUAUCUAUUUAGACAGUGAGGAAUCAGAUUUAGAUUGUAUUGAGUAUACAGUCCACACCAUAUCUAUUUAGACAGUGAGGAAUCAGAUUUAGAUUGUAUUGAGUAUACAGUCCACACCAUAUCUAUUUAGACAGUGAGGUAUCAGAUUUAGAUUGUAUUGAGUAUACAGUCCACACCAUAUCUAUUUAGACAGUGAGGAAUCAGAUUUAGAUUGUAUUGAGUAUUCAGUCCACACCAUAUCUAUUUAGACAGUGAGGAAUCAGAUUUAGAUUGUAUUGAGAAUACAGUCCACACCAUAUCUAUUUAGACAGUGAGGUAUCAGAUUUAGAUUGUAUUGAGUAUACAGUCCACACCAUAUCUAUUUAGACAGUGAGGUAUCAGAUUUAGAUUGUAUUGAGUAUACAGUCCACACCAUAUCUAUUUAGACAGUGAGGUAUCAGAUUUAGAUUGUAUUGAGUAUACAGUCCACACCAUAUCUAUUUAGACAGUGAGGUAUCAGAUUUAGAUUGUAUUGAGUAUACAGUCCACACCAUAUCUAUUUAGAC